rnacentral:rRNA from 1 species
CCCUUAGAUGUUCUGGGCCGCACGCGCGCUACACUGAUGCAUUCAACGAGUUUCUUCCUGGUCCGAGAGGAAUGGGUAACCUUUUGAAAGUGCAUCGUGAUAGGGAUAGACUAUUGCAAUUAUUGGUCUUCAACGAGGAAUUCCUAGUAGACGUAGUUCAUCAGACUGCAUCGAUUACGUCCCUGCCCUUUGUACACACCGCCCGUCGCUACUACCGAUUGAAUGGUUUAGUGAGAUCUUCGGAUUGGCCACCUUGGUGCCUUCGCGGGUCCAUGGCGUGCCGAAAAGUUGUUCAAACUUGAUCAUUUAGAGGAAGUAAAAGUCGUAACA